CCGCGACGGGUGAGUAAUACGUAUCCAACCUGCCGUCUACUCUUGGACAGCCUUCUAGAAGGAAAGAAUUAAUACAAGAUGGCAUCAUGAGUUCACAUGUUCACAUGAUUAAAGGUAUUCCGGUAGACGAUGGGGAUGCGUUCCAUUAGAUAGUAGGCGGGGUAACGGCCCACCUAGUCUUCGAUGGAUAGGGGUUCUGAGAGGAAGGUCCCCCACAUUGGAACUGAGACACGGUCCAA
rnacentral:rRNA from 1 species